UACGUAUGGUGCAAGCGUUAUCCGGAUUUACUGGGUGUAAAGGGAGCGUAGGCGGCGCGUUAAGUCUGAUGUGAAAACCCGAGGCUCAACCACGGGAGUGCAUUGGAAACUGGCGGGCUGGAGUGCCGGAGGGGUAAGCGGAAUUCCUAGUGUAGCGGUGAAAUGCGUAGAUAUUAGGAGGAACACCAGUGGCGAAGGCGGCUUACUGGACGGCAACUGACGCUGAGGCUCGAAGGCGUGGGGAGCAAACAGG
rnacentral:rRNA from 1 species